UACGUAGGGGGCUAGCGUUGUCCGGAAUCAUUGGGCGUAAAGCGCGUGUAGGCGGUCCGGUAAGUCCGCUGUGAAAGUCGGGGGCUCAACCCUCGGAUGCCGGUGGAUACUGUCGGGCUUGAGUACGGAAGAGGCGAGUGGAAUUCCUGGUGUAGCGGUGGAAUGCGCAGAUAUCAGGAGGAACACCAAUAGCGAAGGCAGCUCGCUGGGACGGUAUUGACGCUGAGGCGCGAAAGCGUGGGGAGCAAACAGG
rnacentral:rRNA from 1 species